CAACCUCUGGGCUGCUUCUGCUCAGGUCAGGGCCUGCUGCUGGAAAACCUCCCAUUCUUUUGGGCCCGUUGAAUCCUACUCAUCCUCAAAAGGGAAGACUGCUUAAGGGGAUUCAGAUGGAAGACUGGACCUUCUGUCUUUUCUUCCUUCCACCUGCCACCUGAGGUGAAGAUGGGAUUGCUAGAGCUGAGAAAGCCAUUGUGGACCUUGAAGUUACCUUGAGCCACACCCUCUUCAAUUUAGGUGACCUUCCAAUGCUGACCUCCCCUGAAUCAGCAUUUGUGACCUAUGACAUGGACCCCAGUCAUCGGGCAGGAAGAGGUGCUGCAGUGGAUUUUGAACCACAUGAUCCAAUGUAUCAG